GAUGAACGCUAGCGGCAGGCCUAAUACAUGCAAGUCGAACGGGCGGUAGCAAUACCGCUAGUGGCGCACGGGUGCGUAACGCGUAACCAACCUGCCCAGAUCUGGGGGAUAGCGCGCCGAAAGGCGGAUUAAUACCGCAUAAACUCACAGUGUGGCAUCACAUAAUGGGUAAAGAUUUAUCGGAUCUGGAUGGGGUUGCGUAGCAUUAGCGAGUUGGCGGGGUAAUGGCACACCAAGGCGCCGAUGCUUAGGGGACCUGAGAGGGUGAACCCCCCCACUGGGACUCGGUUCCGGGCCAGACUCCUACGGGAGGCAGGAGUACGUAAUAUUGGGCAGUGGGCGAGAGCCUGACCCAGCCAUGCAGCGUGCCGGAUGAACGCCUUCUGGGUUGCAAACGGCUUUUCUCAGGGAAGAAAACGGUGAUGCGUCCUCAACUGACGGUACCUGAGGAAUAAGCACCGGCUAACUCCGUG
rnacentral:rRNA from 1 species